UGCCUUUGGAGGAAGAGUCACAAGAUAGUGUGGCAAGGACACGAUGUGUACCAUCAGCUCCUUCUUCCCAGAGGUCCCUGAGCUUGGACAGGCUGCAGCAAAGGGCACUGCCCAAGGCCAGCCACGAGGACAUCAGGGACGCCACAAAAUCCACAGCCUCUCAGGAUGGCCCCUUGAGCAACCUCAGCAACACUAGCAAUAACCAGGACUCACUGAACAAUGCCCCCAAGAAGAAGGGCAUCACAAAAUCCAUCCGCUGGUUGCUCACCAGAAAACAAAAGGUCCACCCCAGCCACGCUAGCGACGAGCCUGCAUGACCAGUUUACCCACACUGCUUCUCCCGAUGGUCUUGCAGCACGCUGAGCCCAGCAGUGACUACAUUUGAAACUUCAACCAGAUCUUUCAUCUGUUAAUCCUUGUUAUAUGGACCCUGAGAUAUUUUAUUACAGUGUUUGAUUACUGAAAAAUUCGUGAAUAGGAUAGAGAAACUCAUUUAGCAUUUAAUGUUUCGUACAUUUCUGUAAAUUUGUCACUCCCUAUAGAGAGUUCCUGACUUUCAUGUAUAUCCGGGCUAUAAAUAUCCUUUGGAAUCAAUUGAUGUUCUUAUAUCUCAGUUUAGUCUUUCAAAUGAAUGUACUGUCAUGGCUGUAUGUAUGAAUCCUACGACAAAUACGGUCUUUUAUAACCUGUGCAUGUAUUGUAAUUAUCAUUGUUUAAUUGUUUGUUAAGAAACCCUGACAGAGAAAAGGAUUUUACCAUGUUUGUAAAAUCACCGUGACACAGCCUGCAUUAUCCUUUACGAAUGUCCCUUAGCUCUACAACCAUGGUUUUGAUAUAAGCAGACUUAAUUUGCAGCAAUUGUCGCUGUAUUUUAACGACUCACCUUAACUACACUUUUUCUAGCAAGAAAUGCUUUCUUGUGCAGUGUGAAGAGAUUAAAAAUAUCUGGUGUUGACUAUCAGCUAAAGAAACUUGGAGUGGAAAGCUGAUUGAAACACUGUGAAAAUCUCCCAGGGCCGGUAUGCUCUUUCUGAGCCUGGUCCCUGGGGGCCUGGGCGGUUUGCCUGGAGUGACCCGCACAACCUGGGAGCCGAGGCCCCAGAAAGCCUGGGUGGGGCAACCUGGCCACCUCUUCCCCGGAACCCUGCCCACCCCCUUCUCUCCCCCAGCCCGAACCUUAGACCCCUGGCAGCAGAACUCUCAGAGGACCAAUCAGGGUGCACUGGUCUCCCACCUCGGGCCAGGGCGCUGGGUGCUCAGCACAGAGCAAGAUGCAAGAUCCUGGAAACAAUGGAGUGCAACUCUAAUAAAGGCCUUAUUGUUCUUACGGAAA